rnacentral:rRNA from 1 species
UACGUAGGGUGCGAGCGUUAAUCGGAAUUACUGGGCGUAAAGCGUGCGCAGGCGGCUUUGUAAGACAGGUGUGAAAUCCCCGGGCUUAACCUGGGAAUGGCGCUUGUGACUGCAAGGCUCGAGUGCGGCAGAGGGGGGUGGAAUUCCACGUGUAGCAGUGAAAUGCGUAGAGAUGUGGAGGAACACCGAUGGCGAAGGCAGCCCCCUGGGUCGACACUGACGCUCAUGCACGAAAGCGUGGGGAGCAAACAGG